AUUGAACGCUGGCGGCAGGCCUAACACAUGCAAGUCGAACGAGUGGCGGACGGGUGAGUAAUGUCUGGGAAACUGCCUGAUGGAGGGGGAUAACUACUGGAAACGGUAGCUAAUACCGCAUACCAUCGGAUGUGCCCAGAUGGGAUUAGCUAGUAGGUGGGGUAACGGCUCACCUAGGCAACGAUCCCUAGCUGGUCUGAGAGGCAGACCAGCCACACUGGAAAUGAGACAAGGUCCAGACUACUACGGUAGGCAGCAGUGGGGAAUAUUGCACAAUGGGCGCAAGCCUGAUGCAGCCAUGCCGCGGGUAUGAAGAAGGCCGUCGGGUUGUAAAGUACUUUCAGCGGGGAGGCGUUACCCGCAGAAGAAGCACCGGCUAACUCCGUGCCAGCCGCCGCGGUAAUAC
rnacentral:rRNA from 1 species